rnacentral:lncRNA from 1 species
AGAUGUUUGAUAUUUGUCUUAAAAUUUAGGCUUGGAAGUCACAAGAAUGAUGCCCCGAAAUUGGGCAAAAAUCAUGCAUCAUGCAACUGAUAGGGCAAAUCAUGGGCUCGGGCUCAGUGGGGUUCUUGUUUACUAUGUAUUCAUUACUCAUCAGUAUUAAAAACAAUGCCAGAAUCACAAAAGCAUACUUUUUUCUGUACUGUUGAUUCAAACUGAGGAAAAAAGCCCAAAAUGGACUUUGUUGUUUGUAAAAAAAAUGACCGCAAUUCGAGGCAAUACUAUCACAGCAGAAUACAAUUGUCCGAAAUUUUCUCACCAAGUAUGAAAAUACCAAUGUUGGCCCUAAUCACUACCAAACGGAAAAUAUUCUGAGACCCCUGGCAAGUUGAUGUUUUGAAGGGCAAAAUUAGGGUAAAAAUGUCAAUUUUGGAAGUUCUAAAAACACACUUGAUACACGGCUGUUCAGAGCAUAUUAAGGGUGACUUGUAAGCAAUAAUUUGUCGUCUCAAGCAAAGGCCAGGAUGAUACUUUUAAAGUGAUAUAAGUGGAUCUGUUAACUAUUUGUGUAUUUCGGUUAGGUGGACUUUUGAAUGUAAGCAAAAAAAAGCCAGUUUUUCAGAGCUUAAGUUGGCCUAAAAUGCCAAAAAACACAAAAUGAGCUGUUUCCAUGGCAACAGGUUAGAUAUGGAUUUGAAAAGUCUUUUUUGUUUACUUGCACCAAGGUCCUUUCAUCCUACAAUGUAUGAAAAAAAUUGAUCUUUUGACUGUGGACGUAUGUCUGAUAUUUACGUGAAAUGACUCCGAAGAAAAUGUGGUUUUCCCUUAUUUGAUAGAUUUCAUUGAAUAAGAUAGUUGCUGUGAACAUAGAUUCAGAAAUGGCUUCAUUUGGAACAAGGUCUGUUUUUACAGAAAUGGCUUCAUUUGGAACAAGGUCUGUUUUUACUAGGUUUGAAUGUGAAAAUGGCGGCUCUCACUUGUUUUGUUGUAUUUUUGUGACUCUUUUUUGGAAAUGUUUUGGUAUACAUGUACAUGUAUGUACAUGUACUUGUGUUUUCUUUCUCCUAUGCAAGUGUACAGGUACAUCGUGUGGUACUUUUUGGUUUGUCAUUGCUUUCCUAGUUCUCAUUUUUGGUAAGCAUGUUAUUUUUUUGGGGGGGGGCUUUUUUUGCCUCAUGAUAUCCAUCUGUUAAGAAGUAUGUGUUAUUGUGUUUGUAGUUUGAGAUUAAUGUUUUGUUGUUUAUGUAGUGGCUUGUCGUUUAUUUGUGUUUUUGUCAGUCACGGUGUUUUUUGUAAAAAUAUACCAUUUCAGUUAUAGAGAGUCAUGGUGAUGUUAUUGUUCUUAGUUUAGGCAGUGCUUUUUGUAUGCUCUUGCUUUAUUUGUCCUUUUCUUGUCAUCUUUGUGUGGAUUGGUAAUGAAGAUGUAAUUUUUGAACAACCGUAAAAUGUAAACGUCUGGAAUUUUGAUUUUACUUGAAAUAUUGUUUAUUAUGUUUAUUUUCCCAAGCAGUAAAAUACACCCAAUCAUUGAUCCUUUAACCAAGAAACUCAUGUAAUCUGUUCUUAUCCUUCUAAGCAGUUUCAAUCUAAAAUGAUGAUGAGCAAAAUUUCAAAAAGGAUAAUCAAGUAAAUUUAAAACUUGUAGACUAUUUGUAAAACAAAUGGUUAUGAGUCAACUCGGGCCCAAACCAACUCAGACCCAUGCCAAUUUGGACCCAAUACCAACUCAGAUCCGCGACGAACUCGGACCCAAUACCAACUCGGACCCAUAACUGACUCGGACCCUUAGCCGACUCAGACCCCCACGCUAAACCAACUCGGACCCAACCUGAGGAACAUUUAGUUUCUGCGAGAUUAAUUAUUGUAAGUUUAGGCAAGUCUAACGACAUUUAUGAAGUUUUUUAAAUGACAUUUUUUGUCUCUAUUUUAUGCAAUCUUUCAUUAUUUUAUUCAAACUUCACAAAAUCACAUUUCAUUUGUCCUAUUUCAUUACUCCAUUCCCCAUAAUUAUGUGUAUACUGUGUUCGUUGCUAUAUUUUAUUACCAUCGACAAAAAGUUUUG